rnacentral:rRNA from 1 species
CAUAAAGAUUCAGCUUGCUGAAUCCGGUGCUGACGAGCGGCGAACGGGUGAGUAACGCGUAGGAAUCUACCCAGUAGCGGGGGAUAGCCCGAGGAAACUCGGAUUAAUACCGCAUACGCCCUGAGGGGGAAAGGGGGCAGUUUACUGCUCUCACUAUUGGAUGAGCCUGCGUAAGAUUAGCUUGUUGGUGGGGUAAUGGCCUACCAAGGCAACGAUCUUUAGCUGGUCUGAGAGGACGAUCAGCCACAUUGGGACUGAGACACGGCCCAGACAUCUACGGAUGGCAGCAGUUAAGAAUAUUGGACAAUGGGGGCAACCCUGAUCCAGGUAUACCGCGUGUGUGAAGAAGGCCCUAGGGUUGUAAAGCACUUUAAUCAGAGAAGAAGCAUUUUAAGUUAAUACCUUAAUAUGUUGACGUUACCUGAAGAAUAAGGACC